rnacentral:rRNA from 1 species
UACGUAGGGGGCAAGCGUUGUCCGGAUUUAUUGGGCGUAAAGAGCGUGUAGGCGGCCAUGCAGGUCAGCUGUGAAACUCGAGGCUCAACCUCGAGACGUCGGUUGAAACCGGUAUGGCUAGAGUCCGGAAGAGGAGAGUGGAAUUCCUGGAUGUAGCGGUGAAAUGCGCAGAUAUCAGGAGGAACACCGAUGGCGAAGGCAGGUCUCCUGGGC